AGAGGCCAGACUGACUAAUGGCGGCGUCCACGAAACAGGCCACCGGGGGCGUUGAAGAGGCCGCGGCGGAAGAGGAACCGCGAAUUCUGGAACCCGGAGCAGCCCCAUUUGGAAAUUUCCCUCAUUAUUCCCGCUUCCAUCCUCCAGAACAACGGCUCCGCCUCCUGCCCCCGGAGCUGCUUCGCCGGCUCUUUCCUCAGAGUUCCGAAACGAGGCCGAUCGUGGGGCUCGACGUGGGGUGUAACUCUGGGGAUCUGAGUGUGGCUCUAUACAAACACUUCCUUUCCCUACGUGAUGGGGAGACCUGCUCAGAUGCCUCAAGAGAACUCCAUCUACUCUGCUGCGACAUAGAUCCAGUCCUGGUGGAGCGAGCUGAAAAAGAAUGCCCUUUUCCUGAUGCCCUGACCUUUAUCACCCUGGACUUUAUGAAUCAAAGGACCCGGAAUGUUCUCUUGAGCUCUUUCUUAAGCCAGUUUGGACGUUCAGUUUUUGACAUUGGCUUUUGCAUGUCAAUAACCAUGUGGAUUCAUCUGAACCACGGGGACCAUGGCCUAUGGGAGUUCCUGGGUCACCUUUCCUCCCUUUGCCACUACCUCCUUGUGGAGCCACAGCCCUGGAAGUGUUACCGGGCAGCUGCAAGGCGUCUCCGGAAGCUGGGUCUUCAUGAUUUUGACCACUUCCGUUCCCUUGCCAUCCGAGGUGAUAUGGCCAAUCAGAUUGUGCAGAUCUUGACCCAGGACCACGGCAUGGAAUUAGUAUGCUGCUUUGGCAACACCAGCUGGGACCGAAGCCUUCUGCUCUUCAGGGCAAAACAAACCACAGAGACUCAUCCGAUUCCUGAAUUACUGACAGAGGAAGGGAAAGAAAGGAACAGAUUAAGAUUCUGGAGACAGUGAGACAGGAAGGCAGGAAGACCAGGAAAGAGAUACUGAAUACUAAGAAUUAAGUUAACUUGCCUCAAUUCAUGAUUGUAAGGCAGCCUCAAAACGUGGCAGAAGCUUUUGUCCAAGACAUACAAUUGAAAGAAUCAUUAUCUAUUCCCUACUGUUUGAGUUGAUCCUGGAAGAGAAUAUAUCUGUGGAGCAAUGAGCUGGGUUAUCCAGAUUGAAAUGGCCUAGAGAAAGUGAUCCUGGUUCUAGGAUAUGGAAGGGGCUGCUUCCAGUGGUUAGAGACUUAUACCAGGCUAGCCUUAGAAUGUAUCAGUUUCAUGGGCAACUUGAAUCUAAUCUGGCUUCUUCAGGCUUUUUCUGGAUUUACUCAUCCUGCCUUUCAGGCAAAACCUCACAGUACAAUCUGGAAUGAAGAGUCACUGGCCUGGGUAAAGGAGAGGGUUAGUAAGAAAAACAUCUUAUCUUUCCAGAGCAGGUCAAGUCUCCAACAUGCCCAGGUCCAGCACAACAGGUAACAGAUACUGGCCAAAAUGCACUGACUAGCAUUUAUAAAAUGUUUAAAAGAUUUAAAUUAUGAACCCAGUAUCCAGCUGGUACAAAGAAAUUAAUGAAGUGGGACUGUAUAAUUAUAUAUAAUAAAAGUGACUUGAAUAUGAUUUAGAAUGCCCUGUGAUUCUGGCAUAGGUAGGAAACUUCUGCUUUUAACCACUCUAUCCAGGGAGGUUUCAGCUCAAGAAAAAGAACCUCACCCAAGCUCAGAAUGGAAAACAUGCCAGAGAGUAAGUUAAUUCAGGACUUUUUUUGUUAGCGUCCUCUGCCAAAGCAUACCGGUAUGGGGGUGGGAAUAUGUGCAGGGAAGCAGGCAUAAAAUGCAGUCUAUAAUUGGAUGACUUUAGCAUCAAUGCUAUGGGAUAGGUGUCACUGAUGUUUGUCAGGUUUUGAUACCUAUGAGUUGAGUCCAAGGGAAAGUGGAAGAUGAAGAAAGAUUUGUUUGGUGGAGAGUAGAUGAGAAAACAAAAUAUACCUAGCUAAGAAGGGAGACUAGAUUGAUGAGCUUCAAAAUCCUUAAGAUCCUAUUAUUUUCUGAAGUUAUAGGAGGAGUAGGGAAUAAGAGAAUCUGAACUACCAGUUAGACAUUCGACCUUUUGAUGGAGAAGUUAGUAAAAGUUCCCGCUAGAGAAUUUCAGCUUCAUGCAUGAGAGAGCAAAAACUGGUGCAGUCCCUAAACGAUAGGAGAAUGGAACCAAAACCUUCAUUUAGGAAAACCAAUUUUUCUAUUUUGUGCAGGAUAAUUAUGUGGUUGGUGCUAUUUCCAAUCUCAGACUCCAGUACUACUUUUCAGUCUUUUUAUAUUCCUGCUCCUGAUCACUUUCAUCUUAGUGACUCUUCUAGACCUUUACCCUUCUGCAGGUUCUUGACUCUGUAUCCCUGCUCCAUUAAUCUAAGCAGAAGACCUAACCACCAACCAGCGCCAUUCUUGUUUGCUGUGUCAGGAAGUCUUUUCUUGUCCUCAGUCUUAAACCCCUUCAUCUUCCCUCCUUUUCACUUCUGAACUUACCCAGUGAGCUUUUACCCAAAUAACCUCUGCCCGAAUUCCUGAUCCCAACCUCUACUACCUCUCCCAAACUGUGCUUUAUUGAGGAUCCCCUUGGUGUAUCCUUGGCCUCAUUGACUCCUUCCUGUCCACCUGCCAACAUGCUCAAUUCUUUCUCAUCUUGAAAACCACCAACUUUUCAUCUGUCCAGUCUCCCUUCAAGUUUAUUCAGUCUCUCCCUCCAUAUCUUUACCAUGAAACAUGAGCAAAGCCUUUGAAAGAAUAGACCCCACGGCAUCUGCUCUCUCAUUUCCCAUUCGUCAAUGACCCCCCUGAAUGCCAAAUCCUGAGGCUUCUUUUCAGUCUUCCUCCUGGGUCAUGGCACUAUUCAGCACUACUGACCCUUUCUUUGAACUGCUCUUCCUUGGUUUCUUCACCAUGCCCUUCUCCCUUUAUUUUCUUCAUAGCUAUCUCUUAGUUUUUCUCUACUCUUAAAGCAGUUAGUUCAAAUUUUAAUUGAACUUAAGUUACCUGGAGAGUCCUGGAUUCAUCUCCAGAAACAGUGAUUCAGGUUAGGAAUGGGGUCUGGGAAUCAGUUGGUUUGAUUAGAUUUGAGUUUUUCUGCAUUUUUUUAUUGUGGUAAAAUGUAUAUAACAUAAAAAUUUACCAUUUUAACUGUUUUUAAGUGUACAGUUCCAUGGCAUUAAAUACAUUCACAAUGAGGAAUCGGUUUUUUGUUAAAAAAAACCCCAGGUGACUCCUGGCAAACCAAAAUAGACCACACUCUGGGUGCCUGGGUAGCUCAGUUGGUUAAGCGACUGCCUUUGGCUCAGGUCAUGAUCCUGGAGUCCCAGGAUCGAGUCCUGCAUCGGGCUCCCUGCUCGGCAGGGAGUCUGCUUCUCCCUCUGGCCCUCCCCCCUCUCAUGUGCUCUCUCUCUCUAAUUCUCUCUUUCAAAUAAAUAAAAUCUUUUUUAAAAAAAACAAAAUAGACCACACUUUGAUUGCUUAGGGUCCCUUAGGGUCCAUCCAGUCCUCUUCUACAUAUUUUUCCUCUGGUGAGUUCCUCCACUCCCAUGCCUUUAGUGACCACCUAUAUGCUAAUAACUCCCAAAUAUAUUUCUGGCCCCACCUCUACAGCUGUAGAUUAAUAUUUUUCCUGUUUUGUAGUCAUAUCGUCCUAGAUAGUUCUUAGUCACCUCAGAGUCAACAAUAUCCCAAAGCAAACUCUACCCUCAUUCCACACCUAAUCCUAUCUGUUGUUGCCAUCCACCCAUUGCUCAGGCUGCAAACUUCAGUUGAGUCUUCUCACUUAUACUCCCCACAUUGACAAAGUCACAAAGUCCGGUAAAUUCUACCAAUUAUAUGUAAGUCUCAUUUAUUCUAUCCAUGUGGCUGGUGCCUACCAGGCAUUUCUGUGUUAAGUCAUCUACCCUCUAAUCCCUACUGCCAGUGUUCCUUUCCUCAAAUAUCUAGUUAUGCUAGUAUUAUGCUUAAAAACCUUUAGUGGUUUCCUAGUGCCUAGAGUCCUGUCCUUUAUCCAGUGCCUAAGCCAACGUUGUUCAAUAGUAGCCACAUGGUAUUUAAAUUUAAAUUAAGUAAAAUGAAAUAAAAUUUAAAAGUUCAGCUCCUCAGUCAUUCUAGCCACACUGGAGGUGUUCAAUAGCCAUAUGUGACUAGUGGCUACCUUAUUAGCACAGAUUUAGACCAUUUCCAUCACUGCAGAAAGGUAUACUGAACAGCACUGGUCUUCAUGCUUUUCCUCCACACACCAGUCACACUGAACUCACCUACCACCCUGUCAGAUGUGCCAUUUCCUUUCAUAUCUCUGAGACGUAGCACAAACUCCCUCUGUUUCCCUUCUUUCUCCCCCAGCUCUACCACCUUGCAACCUGGUUGAACCGUUUGUCCUAAAAGAUGGCUCAGAUGUUACAUUUUGUCAGAAAUCUUCCCCCCGGGGCGCCUGGGUGGCUCAGUUGGUUGAGCGACUGCCUUCGGCUCAGGUCAUGAUCCUGGAGUCCCGGGAUCGAGUCCCGCAUCGGGCUCCCUGCUCAGCGGGGAGUCUGCUUCUCCCUCUGAACCUCCCCCCUCUCAUGUGCUCUCUCUCUCUCUCUCUCUCUCAUUCUCUCUUUCAAAUAAAUAAAUAAAUCUUUAAAAAAAAAAAAAAAGAAAUCUUCCCCCCAACUCUUGUGGCACUUUGCAUUUGUUACUACAUUCUAAUGGGGACUUUGCGUGGAAGCCUCUAUUAUAGUAUUUACCUCGUUAUAUUGUCAUUAUUUAUAUGGCUCUGCCCCCCCCCAUAAUACUGAUCUCCUCAAGCCUAACUUACCUUUGUACAUUGAGGCCUAGCAGAAUGGCUGACACAUGGCAGGCUGCUAAGAAGUACUUGUUGAGUUAAUAUAUGAAUGAACAAAAGAGAAAUGUACCUGAAUUCAAGUACUGAGAAGAAAAGGGAGCUCUAUGAUUGGGCAGAAGACUGCCCAGGAAACUGAAAUGGGGAGAAAUUUGAAAAUUGAGAGAGAGAGAUAAGCUUAGCCUUUGGCAUGGAAGUUUGAGAGUUUUCUCAAACAUAUCUUUGCGAUAAAAUGUCCAUUUUGGGACACCUGGGUGGCUCAGUUGGUUAAGCAUCUGACUUCAGCUCAGGUCAUGAUCCCAGGGUCCUGGGUUCAAGUCCCCAUGUUGGGCUCUCUGUGCAGUGGGGAAUUGGCUUCUCCCUCUGCCCUUCCCCUCCCCACCCCCUGCAACUCAUGCUCUGUCUCUCUUUCAAAUAAAUAAAAUCUUUAAAAAAUAAAAAUGUCCAUUUCAAGGCCUGGGCUAUUGAUGGUUUGGUACAGGACAGCAAGACUAGAUAAAAAAUUUGGAAGUCAUUCAUAUACAGUGGGGUUUAAAAAGUAGUAAAUUCCAAAAAUACAUGAAUAUGAUGAGAGGCCCAGGUCCUAGGUCUGAGGGCUGCCAGUAGUUAUUGAGUGAGGGGGAGGGAAGGAAGAACCAAAAGAGGUCUGGUUAGAAACAGGAGAAAAGGAAAAAAAGAGAUAAUAAUAUAGCACCAUGUGCCAGACAACAAAGCCAAAGCAGAGCUGGGCUCUGAACCUGGGCAGUGUGGCGGCAGAGUCUGGGCCUUGGCUACCAUGCCUUGCGAUGUCACAGAAAUCCAAGAUUGGGAAGAGACUCCAGAGAGCCAGUGUAAAAGAGCAUGAGCUUUGGAGUUACUGUGCUUCCUCAAGUUAUAUGUUCAAACCUGAGAAUAGGGACCCAGCCAGGCCACGCUUGGCUAUUCCAGAUAUUCUUAGAAAUCCCCUCAGAGAAGUCGGGCCUAAUUCUAGGUUGAGUAGUACUCUAGGUUGAGUACCUGAAUAGCACUCCUGCUGCUGCCUACCAUUAAACAGGCUUGGCCCUCCUAAGUGUUUUGGAAAAGCAGUUGGCAGCUACAUAGAGCAGACACAGACACUCUUAAGUCUCUCUCAGUCCUAAUUACCUUCUCACUGUACCUUUGACUCGCCAGCUACCCUAACCUUCCCCUGAAUUCCUGAAAUUCCCAAUCUGCCCCAAACUUUGAUCCCUGAGUAGGACCUCCUAAAAGUGAGUUUCAGUCUGUUUCAUGCUUAGGAGGUAGGAAUUCCAAGGCCACCUCCAGGGUGUAUUAAGAUCCUGAGAUCAGUCAGAUCCUUCUCAGCCCCAUGAGAUCAGUUUUGACCCAGGAACAGUGCAGUGGAAAGAAUCAGGUUUGGAAUUGAGAUCUGUCAGUAACUCAUUGCAUGACCACCCUGUUCAAGUCACUUAACCUCUCUGAACCUCAGUUUACUCAUCAGUUCAACUGAAAUUCACAAGACCUUCCUUUGCCUAUGCCCAAAUGAACUGGAGGGUGGACAGGUAUUUUGCAGAAUAUAGAGUGUUAAAAACAAGCUGCUAUGACAUUCUAUAAGUAUGCCACAGACUACAGCUAUGUUUGUUAGAUUAAAGGCUUAUGAGAAAAACAUCUCUUCUCUGUAGAAAACAUGCAUCUUACUAUCUCUAACAGUUUGUUUUUUAGGACAAGAAAGUAAUGAGAAGUUCAGCUUCAGCACUACAGAGCAUUUUAAAGGAGGCAAUGCUGGGAGGGAAUGAUCACUGCUAAUGGCAAUGAGGCCAGUUUAUGAUGGUUUCCAGUGAUCACAGUGGUUAGAGAUGUGAAUUUACCUACUUCUCUGUAAAUCUUAAGGAUACUUUGAAACCUCGUGACUCUGCUGCUGGCACUCUCUCCCUUCACCAGGGCAGUGCAAAGAAAUGUAUAUGAGGCUGGGGCAGGUUGAAUAAUGGCCCCCUAAGAUGUUCACACCCCAAUCCCUGGAACUUGUGAAUGCCACCUUAGAUAGCAAAAGGGACUUUGUAGAUGUGUACAAUGUAUAGACAGAUUAAGCAUUACAGAUUUUGAAAUGGAAAGAUUAAUCUGGAUUAUCAGGACAGACCCUAAUGUAAUCACAAGUGUCCUUACAGGAGGGAAGCGAAGGAAGGUCUGACCACAGCAGGAGAGAAAGUGAUAGAAGCAGGAGGUUGAGUGAUGUGAGGAAGGGUUGUGAGCCAAGAAAUGCAGUUAGAAAAGGCAAGGAAAUGGAUUCUCCCCUGAAGCCGCCAGAAGGAAUGCAGUCCUGACGACACCUGAAUUUUAGACUUCUGACCUCCAACACUCUUGUCUCAAUUUGGACCAGCCAGUUUCAGAUGUGGCCAAUGCAUACACUUUUGUGGCAAAUCAAGAAGUAUUUUAUCAAAUUCCUUCUGUAUGCCCAAUGUGCUUUUAGCUGCUUUGAGGGGUAGGGAAAAGUAGAUUAAAGAAUCCUGGACUUCCAAAGGUUAGAUUUGACGCACUCCGUAAAUAUGUUAAAGUUGAGAAAAGGAGGGGCUCAAACAAGGCAGCACGUUAUGUGAGCUUCAGCAAAGGAAAAAUCUUUGUGGGCUACAAUGGGCAUGGAAGACUUUUCUAGAGGAUAUGGGAUUUGAGCUCUUCCUGAAAGGAAUACAGCUUUUGCAAUGAUGGACAAGAGGGAAAGGAGCAUGCCCUGUGAGCCUGGAGAAAGGAACCUUUCAGCAGAGGUACAAAGGAAUGGGUGUUGUGUACAUUGAGAACAGACAGGACUAACUGGUUUAUAAUGGAGAUGUCACUCUGAGCAGUACUGAGAAAUAACAGUGGUCUUCGCCUUUUAAGUAGAUUUUGGAUGAAAUGAAAAGAAAACCCAUAAACAUACUAGAGAAAAAAAUGUUUUAAAAAAGGUACUUUCUAAACAUUAAAAGCCAUCAGGGAAAAGACCAAUAAAUGUGACUACCUACAGCAAAGGAAAAAGAAAAUCCAGUAAAGUCAGAAGACAUACUCCAACUAGGGAAACAAUUUGCAAUACAUGUGACAGACAAAGGGUGAAUUUCAUUAUAACACAAACAACUCUUACACGUCUAUUAGAAAAAGACAUUCACAAAAAAAUGAUAAUGGCAGACAAACACCUGAAAACUUGUUUAAUCUUACUAAUUACAUGCAAAUAAAAAAUGCACGAAUAUUUCGGCACUUACAAUAAUAUUCACAAAUUUUUUAAACGGUGAUGGUGAGAAUGUGGGAAGAUAGGUAUUCUUACACCCUGUUAGUGGGGAUGGUAAAUUAGCAUAACCAUAUGGAAGGCAAUUUGUCGAUAUUUAUCAAAACGUACACUGCACAUACCCAGGAAUUCCACUGCUAGGAAUUUAUCCUGUGGAUAUACUCACAUAAAUAUGCAAGGAUGUAUGUACAAUGUUAUCCAUUAUAGUUGUCUGAUAAAAGUGAGAAGCUGGCAACAAUCUAAAUGCCCAUCAGUAGGAAACAAAUAAUAUGGUACAGCCAUGAAUGGAUUACUAUGCAAUUGUUAAAAAGAACAAGAUAGUUCUAUCUAUGUUAAAAUAGAAAGGUCUCCGAGAUACUUUAAGUGCAAGAAGUAAGGUGCAGAACCAGUAUGAAUGAUAAGAUUCCACUUUUGUACCUUUUAAAAAGAAUAUAUACAUAGGAGGUAAUAAAACAUCUAAAAGUGAAAAUCAAUUUGCAGUAUGAGCAUAUUUAGUCAUAUUGAAGAAUCAGCCAGAAAGUUUAAGUGGCUCAUUACUGGAAACGGGAAAUGCAGCACAUAAUUGCUCUUGUGUUAUUUGGUUUGUUAACCAUAUGCACAUAAUGCUUUUUUUUUAAAAUUUUUUUAAAGAUUUUUAUUUAUAUGAGAGAGAGAAUGAGAGAUAGAGAGCACG